GACGAACGCUGGCGGCGUGCCUAAUACAUGCAAGUAGAACGCUGAAGGAGGAGCUUGCUUCUCUGGAUGAGUUGCGAACGGGUGAGUAACGCGUAGGUAACCUGCCUGGUAGCGGGGGAUAACUAUUGGAAACGAUAGCUAAUACCGCAUAAGAGUAGAUGUCGCAUGACAUUUGCUUAAAAGGUGCAAUUGCAUCACUACCAGAUGGACCUGCGCUGUAUUAGCUAGUUGGUGAGGUAACGGCUCACCAAGGCAACGAUACAUAGCCGACCUGAGAGGGUGAUCGGCCACACUGGGACUGAGACACGGCCCAGACUCCUACGGGAGGCAGCAGUAGGGAAUCUUCGGCAAUGGACGGAAGUCUGACCGAGCAACGCCGCGUGAGUGAAGAAGGUUUUCGGAUCGUAAAGCUCUGUUGUAAGAGAAGAACGAGUGUGAGAGUGGAAAGUUCACACUGUGACGGUAUCUUACCAGAAAGAGACGGCUAACUACGUG
rnacentral:rRNA from 1 species